rnacentral:rRNA from 1 species
AUUGAACGCUGGCGGCAGGCCUAACUCACGCAAGUCGAGCGGAUGAAGGGAGCUUGCUCCUGGAUUCAGCGGCGGACGGGUGAGUAAUGCCUAGGAAUCUGCCUGGUAGUGGGGGAUAACGUCCGGAAACGGGCGCUAAUACCGCAUACGUCCUGAGGGAGAAAGUGGGGGAUCUUCGGACCUCACGCUAUCAGAUGAGCCUAGGUCGGAUUAGCUAGUUGGUGGGGUAAAGGCCUACCAAGGCGACGAUCCGUAACUGGUCUGAGAGGAUGAUCAGUCACACUGGAACUGAGACACGGUCCAGACUCCUACGGGAGGCAGCAGUGGGGAAUAUUGGACAAUGGGCGAAAGCCUGAUCCAGCCAUGCCGCGUGUGUGAAGAAGGUCUUCGGAUUGUAAAGCACUUUAAGUUGGGAGGAAGGGCAGUAAGUUAAUACCUUGCUGUUUUGACGUUACCAACAGAAUAAGCACCGGCUAACUUCGUG